CUGCCCUCUCUCCUUGCUCAGCGCUGUGCAAAAAUAAAGUUCCUACUUUCUUCCACCACCCCCAGUGUCAGAGAUUGGCUUGCUGCGCAGCGGGUGAGCGAAUUCACUUCAGGUUCGGUAACAAUUUGGCAACCCAGACGGGACAAUGUCCCAGGUGGACGUCUCGCCUGUGGCACACUGGCCUCUGGCUAAAGGCCUCUCUUGGAAGCUGUCCUGCAGCUGCCUGAGCCCCUUGUCUCAGGGACAGCCCCAAGCAGCUGGCUGCUAGCCAGACGUCGUUGGCCCACGGCGCUUUUGCUUUGUUGGUGGAAGAAACCAGGUUUAGGACUUAGGAAGACGUCUCUUGCAAGUAGCUGGUAGUUUUUGUCUUUGUCUUUGUGUUAACCUUUUCCAACAGGACCGGCUGGAAAUAAUGGGUACCUUGGCAGCCCUCUGGGCUCCAUUUGUUUUGAAGUCGCCGCGACGCCCUGGCCAAAUUUUGGACACAAUUGGAAACACUGGUUAUAUUACCAAGACUUUGACUGGAAUAUCAUAUUUAAAAAAAACAUACAGCCUUGGAUAUGACAAGACAGCUUUUGAGGAAUGAAGGUUGACAUUCUGGAAUAAAGCCACUUGGAAAUAUUGGCCUGGUACUGUGCUUAUGGGUUCUGUAACCUGAAAAACUUCUUAUUAAAUACCUGGUUACUUACAUGAUACAGGCCUAACUUCAGGAGCCCACCAGCAUCACCGCCUUAUUAAAAGACUGGUUCAAUGAGAUGAAACAACCUACGCCACAUUUCAGCAGGAAUUAGCUAGAUUGGUCACCACCCCAAAUCCCUCAAGAUUGAGGGACGGACAUAAAAUAGGGGGAAGUUGAUAUCGACCCUGAUAUCAGUUUCCCCACAUUAAACCCAGCAUAUAUGGGGUUAAAAGCAAAACACUCAUUCCCUGCUUACUCUCUGGCUUCCUGGCUCCAGAAUCCACUAUCCUCCAUGGAGACAGACACCGUCAAGGACAAGCACCUGGACCAUCUCCUCCCCACAAAGAGAUACAGACUGGUGGGAAAGCUGCUGACCACCAAGGUCAUGAACUCCCUCCUGUCUGCAAGUGUCUCAAGGCCAGAGACAGGCUGGUGGGAAAGCUCCGACCAGCAAGGCCAUAUGCUCCCCCUCUCCUACCUAAAGCCCCAAAUAGAAACCCUUCCUUUUAGCUUUUUCAGGGAGUUUGGGAUUUCAGCGUUAGCUGCCCUCUCUCCUUGCUCAGCGCUGUGCAAAAAUAAAGUUCCUACUUUCUUCCACC
rnacentral:lncRNA from 1 species